rnacentral:sRNA from 1 species
UGCCAUCCUCCUCCACCGCGCCGCUAUCCUACAAGAAAAAUGAAUUUGUGAUUUAGAAGUAAAAUAAAUGCGUACAAUAUCACUGACCCUUGAAGUCAGAUGUGAUACAUCUUUGAGUGUUGAUCUUAUAAUGCUGGCUAUAAUCCAAUGUCAGAUGUUAUAUGUUGCUUGCUCAUGGAUACAAAGCAGUGGAUUUAUAAUGUCGACGGCAAUGCAGCUUAAUGUACAAUCUGUUUUU